rnacentral:rRNA from 1 species
CACUAUGCCUAGCCCUAAACAUAGAUAAUAAUUUACCUACUUUAUCCGCCCGGGUACUACGAGCAUCAGCUUAAAACCCAAAGGACUUGGCGGUGCUUUAGAUCCACCUAGAGGAGCCUGUUCUAGAACCGAUAAUCCCCGUUAAACCUCACCUUUCCUUGUCUUAUCUGCCUAUAUACCGCCGUCGUCAGCUUACUCUGUGAAGAAUUUGUAGUAAGCAUAAUUGGCACAGCCCAAAACGCCAGGUCGAGGUGUAGCGAAUGGAAAGGGAAGAAAUGGGCUACAUUCAAUAUUAAUAAUGAAUACGAAUGAUACCUUGAAAAAGGUAUCUGAAGGAGGAUUUAGUAGUAAGCAAAGAAUAGAGCGCUAUGCUGAAACCGGCCCUGAAGCGCGUACACACCGCCCGUCACUCUCCCCGAGCUAACUUAACAAUAUUACUAAUAAGCAAUAACUGUAAAGGGGAGGCAAGUCGUAA